UACCAAAGUUUAGAUGUUAAGGAAUCACAAAUUGGAAAUAAAAUAUUAUAGAAUUUCGUCGGCCGUAGGGAAAGCAUGCUUCUAUUGUUUUGGAGCUGCGUCUCGUGCGUCUCGUGUGCGUCAUUUCCGCCGCACCGCCAAAACAUGAGAAGUGGGGAGGGGGUCACGAAGCUAUCAAUUAUAAUUAAAUUAACUCGUUAUCAGGACAAUCUCCUAUCACUUAUGAAGAAACCAGGGUUAUUUUGAAAAUAUAUCACUCAGAAAAAGCAGCAAGCCUAUAAUUCUGGCCAGUUAUCAAUGGAUUAGAGAAAUGAGCUUAUCAAACAGCACGAAUCCACGAUGCUGGCGGUCUAGGCCAGUAGCCAGCUUCAGCUUCUGGCGAUGGAAGGGGCCUUCGGCUGAUGCAAGACAGCCCUGGCCCCUGCCAGCCUGCCCCGCCACUGGUGACGAGCGCUAGCGCGUCAGCGACCGCCCGAGCGACUCUGAUCAUCAAGCUGUGCAAGUAAUGCUCUACCUGCUGAUCUACCACCGAGGGCUCCGCGCCGGCCGCAUCCGAAGGAGGAUGCGCCAUGUACUGCGCAGCCGAGGAGACCUACUGGCCACUCGUGAGGCCUACAAUCUGCAUGACCAUCGAGUACGUCCGAGGCGCUCUUUCUCCCAAGCCACCUGGGUAUGGACGGACGGGCCGGCUGACGCAAGAGUCCGCAGCGGAGGGGCCGGGGCCUUGGCCAGCUCUGCACCAGCUAGAGCGCGGAGAUGGCUGCGCUCCGCUCAGCCAUCAGCGCGACCACCUGUGGCACCUGAGCGCCCCGGUCGUCUUUUGCACAGGCUCCCAGGCGGCGCUCGCGACACUGAGGGAGGGCCCAGCCACACAGAAAACCUCGAUGGGCGCCGCCGUGUGGACGGGGCUGGCAGUCCUGUUCCGCCAAUUCCACCUGCAAUUGAUGCCGUCCCAUUCCGGCAUAGAUGGUAACAAGCGCGCCGACCAGGCCGCUAAGGAGCCUCGAGCGCGAGCCUCGAGCGCGGAGGCGGCCCCGCUCCCCCAGGCGACAGUCCCGGGGGAUGUUGGCACUGCCCACCGCGCGGCCAUCAGAUUGGCCCGCCACUGUGCCACCGCCGCCUGGCCGGACAGUUGGUGCCAGUUUCUGAUGGGGGGGGGGGGCUGCCUGCCGCCGCUAGCGGUUGCGGAGUACCGAGCAUCGGCUGCCGAUCUCUACCGGCUUCGUACGGGCCAGUGGUUGGGCUUCCGCCAGUAUCUUCACUGUAUAGAACAGAACCCUACUGACGAACGCCGCCAGCGCUCCGACAUCGACUCCCCCCCCUCGGCCCUCCCCCAUC